AUGAACGCUGGCGGCGUGCCUAAUACAUGCAAGUCGAGCGAACAGACGAGGAGCUUGCUCCUCUGACGUUAGCGGCGGACGGGUGAGUAACACGUGGAUAACCUACCUAUAAGACUGGGAUAACUUCGGGAAACCGGAGCUAAUACCGGAUAAUAUAUUGAACCGCAUGGUUCAAUAGUGAAAGACGGUUUUGCUGUCACUUAUAGAUGGAUCCGCGCCGCAUUAGCUAGUUGGUAAGGUAACGGCUUACCAAGGCAACGAUGCGUAGCCGACCUGAGAGGGGGGGGGCCACCCUGGAAACGAGGACCGGCCCAGGCCCCCAAGGGGGGGCGGAAGGAGGGCUUCUCCCGCAAGGGGCAGAGGCCUAAGGGAGCAGCGCGGGGGGAUGAAGAAGGUUUUUGGAUUCAUAAACCUCUUUUAUUGGGAAAAAAAAAAUGUGAACGUACUUAUGCCCUUCUUGAGGUUACUUAAUAAAAAGCCCCGGGCUAACUACGUC
rnacentral:rRNA from 1 species